AGAGUUUGAUCAUGGCUCAGGAUGAACGCUAGCGGCAGGCUUAACACAUGCAAGUCGAGGGGCAGCGGGUUGUAGCAAUACAAUGCCGGCGACCGGCGAAAGGGUGAGUAACGCGUGAGCAACAUGCCGGUACUGGAGGAUAGUCGAUGGAAACGUCGCGUAAUACUCCGUAACAACAGGGACCGCAUGAUCCUUGUUUAAGAGAUUUUAUCGAUAUCGGAUUGGCUCGCGUGCCAGUUAGCUAGUUGGCGGGUAACGGCCCACCAAGGCGACGAUGGCUAGGGUUCUGAGAGGAAGGUCCCCCACAUUGGAACUGAGACACGGUCCAGACUCCUACGGGAGGCAGCAGUGAGGAAUAUUGGUCAAUGGCCGAGAGGCUGAACCAGCCAUGCCCGCGUGCGGGAGGACGGCCCUAUGGGUUGUAAACUGCUUUUAUGACGGGAAUAAAGUUCGCCACGUGUGGUGUUUUGUAUGUACCGUAUGAAUAAGGACCGGCUAAUUCCGUGCCAGCCGCCGC
rnacentral:rRNA from 1 species